GGGGGGGGGGGGGGGGGGGGGGGGGGGGGGGGGGGCGGGGGGGGGGGGGGGGCUUGCGCCUGGGUUGAGGGGCGGACGGGGGGGGACUGCCUAGGAAUCUGCCUGGUAGUGGGGGAUAACGUCCGGAGACGGGCGCUAAUACCGCAUACGUCCUGAGGGAGAAAGUGGGGGAGCUUCGGACCUCACGCUGUCAGAUGAUCCUAGGUCGGAUUAGCUAGUUGGUGGUGUAAAGGCCUACCACGGCGACGAUCCGUAACUGGUCUGAGAGGAUGAUCAGUCACACUGGAACUGAGACACGGUCCAGACUCCUACGGGAGGCAGCAGUGGGGAAUAUUGGACAAUGGGCGAAAGCCUGAUCCAGCCAUGCCGCGUGUGUGAAGAAGGUCUUCGGAUUGUAAAGCACUUUAAGUUGGGAGGAAGGGCAGUAAGUUAAUACCUUGCUGUUUUGACGUUACCAACAGAAUAAGCACCGGCUAACUUCGUG
rnacentral:rRNA from 1 species